rnacentral:rRNA from 1 species
UGGCUCAGAUUGAACGCUGGCGGCAUGCCUAACACAUGCAAGUCGAACGGCAGCACAGUGUGUAGCAAUACACAUGGGUGGCGAGUGGCGGACGGGUGAGUAAUGCAUAGGAAUCUGCCCAGUAGCGGGGGACAACCCGGAGAAAUCCGGGCUAAUACCGCAUACGCCCUACGGGGGAAAGCGGGGGACCGAAAGGCCUCGCACUAUUGGAUGAGCCUAUGUCGGAUUAGCUAGUUGGUAGGGUAAUGGCCUACCAAGGCGACGAUCCGUAGCUGGUCUGAGAGGACGAUCAGCCACACCGGAACUGAGACACGGUCCGGACUCCUACGGGAGGCAGCAGUGGGGAAUAUUGGACAAUGGGGGAAACCCUGAUCCAGCAAUGCCGCGUGUGUGAAGAAGGCCUGCGGGUUGUAAAGCACUUUCGGUGGGGACAAAAAGUGGCGGGAUAACACCCUACUAUCUUGAUUUAACCCAUAGAAGAAGCACCGGCUAACUCUGUGCCAGCAGCCGCGGUAUACAGAGGGUGCAAGCGUUAUCGGAUACUGGGCGUAAAGCGCACGUAGGCGGCUGUUAGUGGAUGUGAAUCCCCGGCUACUUGGAUUGCUUCA